rnacentral:tRNA from 1 species
GGCCCUGUAGCUCAGCGGAUAGAGCAGCAGUUUCCUAAACUGCAGGUCGUUGGUUCGAGUCCAACCAGGGUCG